GACUCGUCACACUAUCAUUAACUGAAUCCAUAGGUUAAUGAGGCGAACCGGGGGAACUGAAACAUCUAAGUACCCCGAGGAAAAGAAAUCAACCGAGAUUCCCCCAGUAGCGGCGAGCGAACGGGGAGGAGCCCAGAGCCUGAAUCAGCAUGUGUGUUAGUGGAAGCGUCUGGAAAGGCGCGCGAUACAGGGUGACAGCCCCGUACACAAAAGCGCAUGUGCUGUGAGCUCGAUGAGUAGGGCGGGACACGUGGUAUCCUGUCUGAAUAUGGGGGGACCAUCCUCCAAGGCUAAAUACUCCUGACUGACCGAUAGUGAACCAGUACCGUGAGGGAAAGGCGAAAAGAACCCCGGCGAGGGGAGUGAAAAAGAACCUGAAACCGUGUACGUACAAGCAGUGGGAGCCCCACCACUAAGCCAGUGGUGAACUCCACAUACGCAUCCUUUGCUGAGGAUACGGUUAACGGAGCGAAAGCGACGUUCAACCGCAAAAGAAGCAGAGGGGGCUUAGUGGUGGGGUGACUGCGUACCUUUUGUAUAAUGGGUCAGCGACUUAUAUUCUGUAGCAAGGUUAACCGAAUAGGGGAGCCGGAGGGAAACCGAGUCUUAAUUGGGCGUUAAGUUGCAGGGUAUAGACCCGAAACCCGGUGAUCUAGCCAUGGGCAGGUUGAAGGUUGGGUAACACUAACUGGAGGACCGAACCGACUAAUGUUGAAAAAUUAGCGGAUGACCUGUGGCUGGGGGUGAAAGGCCAAUCAAACCGGGAGAUAGCUGGUUCUCCCCGAAAGCUAUUUAGGUAGCGCCUCGUGAAUUCAUCUCCGGGGGUAGAGCACUGUUUCGGCUAGGGGGCCAUCCCGGCUUACCAACCCGAUGCAAACUGCGAAUACCGGAGAAUGUUAUCACGGGAGACACACGGCGGGUGCUAACGUCCGUCGUGAAGAGGGAAACAACCCAGACCGCCAGCUAAGGUCCCAAAGUCAUGGUUAAGUGGGAAACGAUGUGGGAAGGCCCAGACAGCCAGGAUGUUGGCUUAGAAGCAGCCAUCAUUUAAAGAAAGCGUAAUAGCUCACUGGUCGAGUCGGCCUGCGCGGAAGAUGUAACGGGGCUAAACCAUGCACCGAAGCUGCGGCAGCGACGCUGAUGCGUUGUUGGGUAGGGGAGCGUUCUGUAAGCCUGCGAAGGUGGCCUGUGA
rnacentral:rRNA from 1 species